ACUCCUACGGGAGGCAGCAGUGGGGAAUAUUGCACAAUGGGCGCAAGCCUGAUGCAGCCAUGCCGCGUGUGUGAAGAAGGCCUUCGGGUUGUAAAGCACUUUCAGUCGUGAGGAAGGUAGUGUAGUUAAUAGCUGCAUUAUUUGUACGUUAGCGACAGAAGAAGCACCGGCUAACUCCGUGCCAGCAGCCGCGGUAAUACGGAGGGUGCGAGCGUUAAUCGGAAUUACUGGGCGUAAAGCGCAUGCAGGUGGUUGUUAAGUCAGAUGUGAAAGCCCGGGGCUCAACCUCGGAAUAGCAUUUGAAACUGGCAGACUAGAGUACUGUAGAGGGGGUAGAAUUUCAGGUGUAGCGGUGAAAUGCGUAGAGAUCUGAAGGAAUACCGGUGGCGAAGGCGGCCCCUGGACAGAUACUGACACUCAGAUGCGAAAGCGUGGGAGC
rnacentral:rRNA from 1 species